AAUAAACAAGCUACUGUAUAGCUCAAGUGUUUCACAAGGCAACGCUGGAAUAAGGAAGGCAGAAAUUUGAACCUGGAUGUCUCUGGAGCAGAGUUCCCUAUCACUUUGGGCUGUUUUCCCUCUUCUUGAACUUUAGGAGUGAGAACUUCUAGGGACUGCUUGAAUUCCUUGACUCACAGUGCCUCACACCAACCUCUGGUUCUAUUGAAACUUUGUCCGGCCUCCUCCCAACCUGCCGUCUCAACCUCUAGUUUCCCUCUUAUAAGGACCUUUGUAAUUGUGAUUACAUCACACUCACCUGGAUAAUUCAGGAAAAUCUCAUCAUGUCAAGAUCCUUAACACAAUAAAAUCUGCAAAUUCCCUUUUA
rnacentral:lncRNA from 1 species